rnacentral:rRNA from 1 species
GACGAACGCUGGCGGCGUGCUUAACACAUGCAAGUCGAACGGGGCGAAGUGAUAGCUUGCUAUUAUGGAGCCUAGUGGCAAACGGGUGAGUAACGCGUAGGCAACCUGCCCUUCAGAUGGGGACAACACCUCGAAAGGGGUGCUAAUACCGAAUGACGUUUCCUGGUCGCAUGACCUGGAAACCAAAGGCCGGGCAACCGGUCACUGAAGGAUGGGCCUGCGUCUGAUUAGCUAGUUGGUGGGGUAACGGCCCACCAAGGCGACGAUCAGUAGCCGGUCUGAGAGGAUGAACGGCCACAUUGGGACUGAGACACGGCCCAAACUCCUACGGGAGGCAGCAGUGGGAAUCUUCCGCAAUGGGCGCAAGCCUGACGGAGCAACGCCGCGUGAGUGAAGAAGGUUUUCGGAUCGUAAAGCUCUGUUGAGAGGGACCGAGAGAUUAUAAUCAGGAAAUGGGUUAUAGAGGACGGUA